rnacentral:rRNA from 1 species
AGCGAACGCUGGCGGCGUGCCUAACACAUGCAAGUCGAACGUGAAAAGGGAAACCUGAGUAAAGUGGCGUACGGGUGAGUAACGCGUAGGUAAUCUACCCCAGAAUCUGGAAUAACCUGCCGAAAGGCGGGCUAAUACUGGAUAGAGCGAGGGAACUCGUAAGAGAGUUUUUCGGGAAAGGGAGCCCGCAAGGGCCUUCGUUCUGGGAUGAGCCUGCGUCUCAUUAGCUAGUUGGUAAGGUAACGGCUUACCAAGGCGAUGAUGAGUAGCUGGUCUGAGAGGAUGAUCAGCCACACUGGCACUGAAACACGGUCCAGACUCCUACGGGAGGCAGCAGUGGGGAAUCUUGCGCAAUGGACGAAAGUCUGACGCAGCCACGCCGCGUGAGUGAAGAAGGCCUUCGGGUUGUAAAGCUCUGUCGGAUGGGACGAACAUCUUCAUAGUGAAUAGCUAUGAGGACUGACGGUACCAUCAAAGGAAGCACCGGCUAACUCCGUG